AAGCAAAAGACAUCACAAACAAGCAAGCUCUGUGCUCUUCUAGGAAGUUACAAGAGAGAAAAAUUGGAAAAUGAAGACAGGGAAAUGCAAGAUCUGUGGAAAGUGUUCAUCUCUGCGUCCUCAGCCCUGCGCUAAGGCCUCUGAGGAUAUCGGUGAUGCUGGGAACAAAUCUGAAGUCGCCAUUUCCACGGCCAGGUCCUGCCCUCUCUGACCCUUCACCUUGUGCCCCCUUCACUCUGUGCCAGCUCCCUGAUGUCCACCAAACCAGCCAAACUCAUCCAGGCCCAGGCUUUCACACAUCGCUCUUCCCUUCUGACUGGGAUAUUCUUCCUGUUCUGGACCUGGCUUAUUCUCUUCAGAGGGGUCUCUGAGCUCUGUUGUGGACCAGCUCUUGUGUCUCCCUGGGAGUAAGACCAGCUGCUCUGGGACACAGCAUCAUUACUGAACAGCAGUUCCCCCAGAAUAUUUUCCACAUUCUCCACUGCAGAAGGUUCUGGAAGAGAGUCAUCAUCAGAAUUGGAAGUCAAACCAGACUGGGGCCAAUUUAUCCGACGAUGCCACCUGAACAGAAGCUCCUGUGGCCACUCCUCAGGUGAGUCUUUGACUGGGUUGCAGCAAACGCCUUUUAUCUGAACCCAGAAGAAAUCACCUCUAUAGCGUGGAGAGAUUUCGGUCCACUUUUUCCCUCUCCAUAGCUCAGCUUGGAGCUCUGUGUACCAAGUAAAGGUCCCAGCACCAGAGGACCACUGCCUCCCAGGUCUUUAGAUACCUGUGCUGGUCUGGAUCAUUCUCCUGGCCACUUGAUUGAAAGCUGCCUCUGAAUUCGGCAUUUCCUCCCACACAGAAGGAUCCCAAAGCUCCAGGUCAGCAGAAUUCAGACCUCUCUUCCACUUGUAUCAACUUUUCACAGCCUGGAGUCACCAAGAAGAGAAACAGUACCUGCUGAGGUGUCUCAGUGGGUGCAGGACUCCAGAACCACUUCAGAUGAGGACUCCUGUGGCCUCAGUUUCCCCAGGUGGGAUGUAAGCACUGCCUGUCACAGCCUCAUGGCCCCUUUCCCAUGACAGGGAUAUAUGAGGCAGGGGCUUUCCUUUUUCCUCACUCUAGAAAGAGAGAAACAUUUUUAUGAUCCCAGUAACCGAACAACGUAAGAAAAUCAUGGCAUCCACCAGCCGCAUGAAAACCAUGGCAAAAGCCUCCAUGUUCUCAAAGGGACCCUGGGAACCUCAUGCUCUCUGAAGCCUUAAGUGGCAAGGGCCUUGCUGAAGGCCUUGGAACACCAGCUGAUGGCCGAUGAAGGGACUUUAACGUGCCACUGAAAUUCUCUUUUCCAAAAUAACCACUUUGAAACCCGUUAAUUACGGACACACAAGUGGCCCCAGCUCCCCAACAGGACCAGGCUCUUCCACCAGGGAGAGCAGGCUUCUAAGGCCAGAGGCUGCCAUGGCGCUCGCUACACAUGCUUUGUGUUGGAGGAAUUAGCUUUAGGAAGAGAAUCCAAAUUAAUUAAAACCACAUGGCCACUCCCUCCACCCCCAGCCUCGCACUCCACCUCCCUCCCCUGGAGACAGAGGCUGGUUCAGUCUAAUUUGGUCCAGUGUUUUUGUUUCCUAAAAUCUGUCUUGGGCUCUGGGCCAUUAAUAGGUUGCAGCUGAUUUUAAUCUACAUGAAUCAGAAACCUCGCUUCUUUGGUUUU